CGACUUUCGGCAACGGAUAUUUCGGCUCUCGCAUCGAUGAAGAACGUAGCGAAAUGCGAUACUUGGUGUGAAUUGCAGAAUCCCGUGAACCAUCGAGUCUUUGAACGCAAGUUGCGCCCGAAGCCGUCAGGCCGAGGGCACGCCUGCCUGGGUGUCACG
rnacentral:rRNA from 1 species